AACGAACGCUGGCGGCAUGCCUAACACAUGCAAGUCGAACGAGACCUUCGUGUCUUUGGGCGCACGUGUGCUUAACGCGGGGUAACCUGCCCGUAGGUUCGGAAUAACUCCCCGAAAGGUGUGCUAAUACCGCUUAAUGUCUUCGGACCAAAGAUUUAUGGCCUUUGGAUGGGCGCGCGUUGGAUUAGCUAGUUGGUAGGGUAAUAGCAUAGCAAGGCGACGAUGCUUAGCUGGUCUGUUAGGAUGCUAAGAUACACUGGGACUGAGACACGGCCCAGAAUCGUACGCGAGGCAGGAGAGGGGAAUAUUGGACAAUGGGGGAAGGCGUGAUAAAGCAAUGACGCGUAAGUGAUGAAGGGCUUAGGGUUGUAAAGCUGUUUUAGACGGGAUGAUAAUGACAGUAACGGGAGAAUAAGCACCGGCUAACUACGUG
rnacentral:rRNA from 1 species